UUGGAGGGCAAGUCUGGUGCCAGCAGCCGCAGUAAUUCCAGCUCCAAUAGCGUAUAUUAAAGUUGCUGCAGUUAAAAAGCUCGUAGUUGAAUUUCGGACCAAUAUGUCGGUCGUGCCUCGGUACGUACUGGCAUCGUUGGUUUCUCCCUUCUGACGAACCAUGAUGUCAUUUAUUUGGUGUCGUGGGGAAUCAGGACUGUUACUUUGAAAAAAUUAGAGUGUUUAAAGCAGGCUCACGCUUGAAUACAUUAGCAUGGAAUAAUGAAAUAGGACGUUUGAUUCUAUUUUGUUGGUUUCUAGGAUCGACGUAAUGAUUAAUAGGGAUAGUUGGGGGCAUUAGUAUUCAAUUGUCAGAGGUGAAAUUCUUGGAUUUAUUGAAGACUAACUACUGCGAAAGCAUUUGCCAAGGAUGUUUUCAUUAAUCAAGAACGAAAGUUAGGGGAUCGAAGACGAUCAGAUACCGUCGUAGUCUUAACCAUAAACUAUGCCGACUAGGGAUCGGAUGAUGUUAAUUUUUUAAUGACUCAUUCGGCACCUUACGGGAAAC
rnacentral:rRNA from 1 species